UUAUGGGUGGGAUAAGCCUGAUAUGCACAUGCUAUAGGUUCUCUUUGUAAUGGCACAAGAUUUUGGAAAUAUUUUUGAGAUCUGAGCGAGAACUAAUUGAAGGGCAAGCUUUUCCUUUUCUCUAAGCUUUUGCCCGUUCUCAGAAAUCUCAUAUUCUCUGUAAUGUAUGUAAUGUACUACAGAAGAGUUCCGCAGAGUAGCUGUUGACAUUAUAGUUGCGCAGGCAAUUUGUUGACUAUAGAGAACCUUGGGCCAAUCGCACAUCCCCGUGGCGGCGACUUUGCAUGCGGAUGUCAUCCAUAUUUUGAUGCCAUUUUCUGCGCUUACCAUGGUGACCACGGGUAACGGGGAAUCAGGGUUCCAUUUCGUACAGGGACCCUGAGGAACAGCUACCACAUCCAAGGAAGGCAGCAGGCGCGCAAAUGACCCAUUCCCGACGCGGGAAGGUAGUGAUGACAAAUAACAAUACAGGACUCUUUAGAGGCCCUGUAAUUGUAAUGAGUCCACUUGAAAUCCUUUAAGUCUGAUCAAUUGGAGGGAAGUCUGGUGCAGAGCCACUGACCUGUGCGUGCUGCAGCUGAAACUCCACUA